AUUUUUUGUCACAGUAUUUUUAAUGGGCACCAGAUCCCAUUUGAUCUUGGAAGCUAGGAAAGGUCAGCCCUGCUUAGUACUUUGAUGGGAGACCACCAAUAAAUACCAGGUGCUGUAGGCU
rnacentral:rRNA from 1 species